ACUUUGAUACAGUUGGAGCAGAACACAUGGUUGUUGCAACAAAUGACCGGCUGACGCACCUUUGAGGCGUAGUUAAGAGCAGACCAAAAGAACCACCUCCCCCUUUUGUCUCUCCUGUCAGUGGGAUCAGCAUCUCAGAAAUACACACAAAAAUCGCUUGCUACUCACUUCAUCGUUCGUAAGUGGAACAAGAGCUGUGUCAACAAGAGAUGUCCAUUUCACCACAAGUCUCCAGUGAAAUGAUUCAUCCAGAGCAGUUGGAUGACACAUAAGUCUGCAAAAAGGCCCAUCCGGAGAUGACGUUGUUAAUAGAGAGGGAGAGGCAAAAGAAGCCGUCCACCCGGCCCGGCUCGAGCAGUCGUCUCUCGCCCCAGCAUGGAGCUCCUCUUUACCCUGCUUCUCUGUCCCUGAUUUACUCCCUCCCGCUCGCUGCGCCGCUCCGUCCUGCUGGAGCCAAAUGAGAUCCGCCGAGAGGUCCUGACCUUCCCCUCUAGAUACCAGCUCCUCACUGGAGGUA